GCAUACACAUACAUUCAUAGCGGGUACGCGGGUUUACAGCAUGGCUAUAACAUUUUCAUACAUGCGAGAAAAACCCAUCGAGUUGAGAAUUAAACCCGCACUCAUACCCACGGGUAAAAAUUCACACUCAAACCCACUCUAUGUAGGGUUUUUACCCGCGGGCACGCGGGUACAAUGUGCCCGUUGCCAGGGGCGGAUAUUGGGCCUGGGCCAUGACCCAGGUCGUAGCUCAAAUUAUCUUUAUAUAUGCAUAGAAUUUUGGCCCAAAAAACCCUAACGGGCCUCACACAAAGGCUUGCUAGGCUGCUACUUCCCUGCCUUGGCUGACGAGUGACGGCUCCUCCACGGCUCCACCUGCUUGGCUGCCCCCGGCGCGUGCCCUUGCCGUUCGUCAUCCAGCGUGGUGUCUGGCCUUCUCGGCUCCUCACCGUGUGGCGUCCUCCGCCAAUCCACCGCUGCGUCCGUCCAGCCGGCCAGGGCUAGCGCCAGGCGCUGCUCCAGGCUCCAACUCCAGGCUCCACUCCAGCUCUCUACCUUGCUCCAAGGCCAGUGCCCUCCACUUUGCCCCUCGGCCAGUGCACAGUCGGCCUCCAUCCACUGCUCCACACGCCUCCAGGCUCCAACUAUUGACAUCAAAACAAGAGAAUAAAGAGGAGAAAAACAUGGAGAUCAUUUUAUUGCCCGACUCCUACACCUUUGAUACAAACUGAUUUAUCAACACCAAACCAACCUUCCCUAAAAGAACCUGUUAUAGAAUCAGAAACAUUAGGUGUUGAGGAGGGACAAGUAUCAUUAGAGAGAGAAGGUAGUAAUGCAAAUGAAUUGGUGGGUUUAAGAGAUAGCAAUAAUGUCGAUCAAGUUAUAGCCGAUCCUGGUCUUCGCAUGCCAAUUGAGCAAAUUGAUACAAACAUUAGGGAUGCUGCCAGAAGAGCAUAUAUUGCGAAGGGUCCAUGCCAACCAAAAGGUCAUAAGUAUCCUAAAUGAAUGAUAGGCAAUCACAAUAGGUCUUUUCAUGAUGAAUGGUAUGUAAAUAAUCUAUGGUUGGAGUAUAACAUUGCCAAGGAUGUGGCCUUUUGUUUUUAUUGCUAUCUAUUUAAACAACCAAGAGCUGAAAUUAUGGUGUUGAUGCCUUCACGGUUGUUGGGUUUCGUCGAUGGAAAGAUGGACAUGAAACCAUUGGAGCUCAUGGUAAUGGCAUAGAUCACAAUAAGUCUAGAAGGUCCUAUGAGGACUACAAAAAUCAGAGACAAAGUGUGUCUCAUGUGAUGAAUCGAGGGGGUAAAAAGAUGGAAGAGGAAUAUAAAGGUCGUUUGCUUGUUAUAUCAGGAGUUAUAAGAUUUCUUUUAUUGCAAGCACUUGCUUUUCGUGGACAUGAUGAAUCCUCUACCUCAAGCAAUAAGUGAAACUUUUUAGAGUUGCUACAGUGGUACAAAGACAAGGAUAAAAAUGUAGCAAAUUUGCUUCGUACUAAUCAGAUGACUUCACUUGAUAUCCAAAAAGAUAUUUGUAGAGCUUAUGCAGAGCAGACCACCAAAGCUAUUAUUUCAGAUAUCGGGAAUAGAAACUUUUCCAUUCUUGUUGAUGAGGCUCGAGAUGUUUCUAUCAAGGAGCAAAUGGCGGUUGUUUUGGGGUAUGUCAAUGAACGAGGCGAAGUGAUUGAGAGAUUUCUUGGGUUACAAGAGGUUCAAAUUCACGUGCUAAUGUCGAUGAAGUUAUUAGAGGCGGGGAAGGACCAAAUCAUCUCUAAUUAGUUACUUUUAUAUUUUUUUAUCAAGUUUAUUGUAUUUUUAGAUGUUGAAUUGAGGUAAAUACUAUCUUAGUCUAUGUUUGUGGUAUAUUUUGUUCUAGCGGUAUAUUUAGCCACAUAAUAUAUGGGGGCUGUUUAAAGUAACUUUCAAGUUUUCUAGAGUAACUCGGGACGUUAAUUUUAUA